GACGAACGCUGGCGGCGUGCUUAACACAUGCAAGUCGAACGAUGAAGCCGGAGCUUGCUCUGGUGAAUUAGUGGCGAACGGGUGAGUAACACGUGAGUAACCUGCCCUUGACUCUGGGAUAACUGCGGGAAACUGUAGCUAAUACCGGAUACGACCCUCGGAGGCAUCUCCUGGGGGUGGAAAGAAUUUCGGUCAAGGAUGGACUCGCGGCCUAUCAGCUAGUUGGUGAGGUAAAGGCUCACCAAGGCGACGACGGGUAGCCGGCCUGAGAGGGUGACCGGCCACACUGGGACUGAGACAAGGUCCAGAUUCUGUUAGGAAUCAGCAGUGGGGAAUAUUGGACAAUGAGCGAAAGCUUGAUCCAGCGACACUACAUGAGUGAAUGAAGGCUAUUUUUGGUUGUAAAGCUCUUUCGACAAUGAGGAUAAUGACAUUAGUUGUAAAAGAAGUCCCGGCUAACUUCGUGCCAGCAGCCGCGGUAA
rnacentral:rRNA from 1 species